GGAUCGUAGCUCAGUGGUAGAGUGCUUGCCUGGCAUGUGUGAGGCCCUGGGUUCGAAUCUCAGCACCG
rnacentral:tRNA from 1 species